AUUGAACGCUGGCGGCAGGCCUAACACAUGCACGUCGAGCGGGCGGCGGACGGGUAAGGACUAUAUGGGGAUCUGCUCGAGGGAGGGGGAGAACGACUGGGAGCGGUAGCUCAUACCGCAUACAAUCGCAUGAACCCCUAUUGGAUUAGCUAGUAGGUGAGGUACUGGCUCACCUAGGCGACGAUCCCUAGCUGGUCUGAGAGGAUGAUCAGUCACACUGGGACUGAGACACGGCCCAGACUCCUAAGGGAGGCAGCAGUGGGGAAUAUUGCACAAUGGGCGCAAGCCUGAUGCAGCCAUGCCGCGUGUAUGAAGAAGGCCCUCGGGUUGUAAAGUACUUUAAGUCGGGAGGCGUUACCGACAGAAGAAGCACCGGCUAACUCCGUGCCAGCAGCCGCGGUAAUAC
rnacentral:rRNA from 1 species